rnacentral:rRNA from 1 species
GAUCAUGGCUCAGAAUGAACGCUGCGGCAUGGAUUAGGCAUGCAAGUCGAACGUACGUCCCUUCGGGGGAGAAAGUGGGCGAAAGGGUGAGUAACACGUGAGCAACCUGCCUCCGGAUCCGGAAUAAUCCAGGGGAAACUUGGUCUAAAACCGAAUGAAGACAUUGGUCCGCAUGGUCUAAUGUUAAAAUAUUUAUAGUCCGGAGAGGGGGCUCGCGGCCCAUUAGCUUGUUGGCGGGGUAAUGGCCCACCAAGGCUACGACGGGUAGGUGGUCUGAGAGGAUGGUCACCCACACUGGGACUGAGACACUGCCCAGACUCCUACGGGAGGCUGCAGUCGAGAAUCUUCCGCAAUGGGCGCCAAGCCUGACGGAGCGAUGCCGCGUGAGGGAUGAAGGCCUUCGGGUUGUAAACCUCUGUCAUCCGGGACGAAAACAAUGACGGUACCGGAAAAGGAAGCCACGGCUAACCACGUGCCAGCCGCCGC